UCUUGUCCUGGUGAGGCUUCCUGCAGAUGACAGCUGUUUUGGUGCAAAUGCUCUGUCUUAAAUGAAACAGGAAAAAAUAUGCGGAGAAAUGAAGGCCAGCAAGUGACCUUGCCCCGGCUCGUGCAGCAGCAGCCGCCCUGAUCCCAAACCCUCUGCGGGGAGCCCCGGCACCGCGAGGAAGGAGACGACGGACGCUCUGCGCGAUGAUGCUCAUUCCUUUAUUGGUGUCAUUGCCAGUUUUUGAGGAGUGCCGACGCCUUCUGAGCACGUCCAGCACUGAGUCAAAGCUACAUUACAGAAUAUUGAAGAGGUGUCCAUCCAAAGCCAGAGGGGGUGUGAGAUUCGUGACCUCUCUCCAUACAGUAUGUAUAAUAUAUAUAUAUUUAUAAUAUGUCCUGUAUAUUCAUUAUGUAUAGAGUGACAAGGAUGGGCGACCGUACAGUAAACUUUUGAUUUCUAAAUAGAUCACCAUAGCAACAGGCACAAAAAUUUGGUCCUAAUCAAGGCCCUCACCUUGUCAAUCAAUCUGAAACAGACCCCAGCCCACCCCUUGCAAAAAUAAAAUAAAAUAAAAUCCGAACCUGAAACCAAAAAUAACUAAAUAACCAAUUAAAAUUAAAAAAGGGCCCCACCCCAGCCCACUGACCCCCUCUGGAACUUGCCCCUGUACAGUCACUCACAUCGAAGGUAAAGAGAUCCCUUGGCUACACACGCGCGCGCGCACCCACACACGCCUACACACAUUCCUAUGUAAAUACACACGCACCAACAUACGAAGAACAAAGAACAUUACAAAUAUACAUCCGAGGUUGUUGCAGCAAUGCAGGGAGGCUGCGAGCGGCCCAGCCCAGCGUUGCAAGGCAGGGGCAGCAGCGUCCCCGGCCCACGGCCUGGCGGCGUUUCGGCUAGCAGGCCGCGGGGCCGGCAGCCCUGGAUGGGGACGCAGGGACGGUGGCUUCGUCACGCGGGGGGGACACCUCGCUGCGGGGCCGUCCCACGACAGACGCGCUCCAAAAGCCAAGCCAGGAGCAGGGCGGGUGAUGGAGCCCGUGGGUGGCGGCACGUUGCUGGCCCCUGCCACCGGCUCGCUGUGGUGUCCGCUGGGGUGCUGGGCGUCUCCUGGCAGAGCCCACGGUGAGCCCCGUCCCGACGGACCUCUGCUGACCUGGCUGAAAAUGAACUUGGGGCAACUGGAAGGCAAGGAA